rnacentral:rRNA from 1 species
GCCAGACUCCUACGGGAGGCAGCAGUGGGGAAUAUUGCACAAUGGGGGAAACCCUGAUGCAGCAACGCCGCGUGAGUGAAGAAGUAUUUCGGUAUGUAAAGCUCUAUCAGCAGGGAAGAAGAUGACGGUACCUGACCAAGAAGCCCCGGCUAACUACGUGCCAGCAGCCGCGGUAAUACGUAGGGGGCGAGCGUUAUCCGGAUUUACUGGGUGUAAAGGGAGCGUAGACGGUUAAUCAAGUCUGAAGUGAAAGCCCGCGGCUCAACUGCGGAACGGCUUUGGAAACUGAGUAACUGGAGUGCUGGAGGGGCAGGCGGAAUUCCUGGUGUAGCGGUGAAAUGCGUAGAUAUUAGGAAGAACACCAGUGGCGAAGGCGGCUUGCUGGACAGUAACUGACGUUGAGGCUCGAAAGCGUGGGGAGCAAACAGGAUUAGAUACCCUCGUA